AUGGAGAAACACAAAUCCAGCAAGCGCUCCCGAGACGAACGCGAGCGCCGUGACCGGGACAAGCAUCGCAGCAGCCGCGACGCUUCUGAUGACUAUCACCGCCACCACCGCUCUCGAUCCGACCGCGAUUCUAAGCCCCACGACCACAGAUCUCGCCGCGACAGGUCGUCGGAGCCGCGCGACCACUUUGAGAGGGAGAGGAGUGAGGGUGUGGAUGAUUUCAACGAUAUCCACUUUGAAGGGUUUGUGUGGCGAGUCUUUGUCUCUGUAGUUCUUGACUUAGAUGAGACGCUAAUAUGUGCAUACGAAACAUCUAGUGUGCCUGCCAUUGUUUGGACUCAAGCAACGGAUGCUGGGAUGAAGUGGUUGAAGCAACGGAUGUGUAUCUUCGUACUAGGUAGGCAGGCUGGAGGCAAUCUCAAGCGGUUCAGUAGGUUGGAAGCUUUGGGUGAACUCAAGAUAGCAGAUUUGGGGUGGUCAGUGCAUACAUUCAAUCGCAGGCGGACCAUGUGUGGCACUCUUGAUUACCUCCCUCCUGAGAUGGAAUACAAAAUUGCAGUGAUAACUGGACAUGGGUGGAAACUAAAGAUGGUGAAUAAAAACUCAACGCCUUCAAAGAGCUUGCUGGCCAUUGCAGUUGGAAUAAAACAGAAAGGAAUAGUGGACAAAAUUGUUCGGAAGUUUUUAUCAAGUGACUUUGUGGUAAUGCUUUUCCAUUAUGAUGGUGCUGUGGAUAGGUGGAGGGAUUUACAUUGGAGUGAUCCUGCCAUUCAUGUGUGGUUCGCAAAACGUUUCAUGCAUCCAUAUAUAGUGACUGAAUAUAAACAUAUUUUUCUCUGGGAUGAGGAACUUGGAGUUGAGAAUUUUGAUCCUGAACGAUAUCUAUCAAUUAUUCAGGAUGAGGGACUUGAAAUGUCACAGCCAGCACUUGAUCCUGUCAAAUCGGAGAUGUAUCAUCCAAUCACUGCACGUGUAAAGAAAUCUAAGAGCAAUCACAUAGUGGCACUCAAUGUCCUCUUCAAGAGCCAGUUGCAACAAUCUCAGGUUGAGCAUCAGCUUCGCCCGGAAGUUGAAAUACAAAGUCAUCUUUGCCAUCCCAAUGUUCUACGUCUUUAUGGCUACUUUUAUGAUCAGUAUGUUGCAUCAUUGGCCCGAGCCCUUAUAUACUGUCAUGGAAAGCACUUAAUUCAUCUAGAUAUCAAACGAGAAAACCUUCUCAUUGGUCAACAGGGUGAACUCAAGAUAGCAGAUUUGGGGUGGUCAGUGCAUACAUUCAAUCGCAGUCGGACCAUGUGUGGCACUCUUGAUUAUGGGGCAAAUUGUGAGGACAAAAUGGACCACUUUUUGAAAAGAUGCUUCCACCAUUCUGGUCUGUAUAAUUAUGAGGAUAAGUUUGCAGAAUUGGACAUCAAGCUGAAAGAGAAGGAGGCUGGCAAAAAGUCAAAUAGGCUGUUUUACUUAUCAAUGCCUCCAGAUAUAUUUGUGAAGGUGGUGAGAUGUGCUAUCCUAAGAGCUUCUUUUAAGAAUGGGUGGACUAGGGUCAUUGUUGAGAAGCCAUUUGGUCGUGACUGAAUCCUCUGCGGAGCUAACCACAUGUUUAAAGCAGUACCUUGCUGAAGACCAGAUAUUUAGGAUUGACCAUUACUGGGGAAAGGAGCUUGUUGAGAAUCUUUCAGUGCUUUGCUUCUCAAAUCUUGAUUUCGAGCCUGUCUGGUCACGUAGUUAAAUCUGCAAUGUGCAACUGAUCUUAUCUGAAGAUUUGCACAGUGGUUAGAGGAGGGUGAAUUUUGGUAAAUAUGCAAUCAUACGGGGCAUAAUGUAAAAUCAUCUUCUGCAAAUACUAGCACUGUUUGCAAUGGAAACACCGGUCAGCUUAGAUGCUGAGGACAUCAGGAACUAAAAGGUAAAGGUUCUAAGAUCAAUGAGGCCACUGCAGCUUGAAGAUGUAGUUGUCCCCCAAUGUAAGGGCCACAACUAG